rnacentral:tRNA from 1 species
UCGGGGAUCGGCUAAUGGCAAGCCCCUUGGCUUUGAACCAGGAAACGAGGGUUCGAUUCCUUCUCCCCGAG